UACGUAGGGUGCGAGCGUUAAUCGGAAUUACUGGGCGUAAAGUGUGCGCAGGCGGUUCGUUGUGUCGGUGGUGAAAGCCCCGGGCUUAACCUGGGAAUGGCCAUGGAAACUGGCGAACUGGAGUGUGGCAGAGGGGGGUGGAAUUCCGCGUGUAGCAGUGAAAUGCGUAGAGAUGCGGAGGAACACCGAUGGCGAAGGCAGCCCCCCUGGGCUAGCACUGACGCUCAGGCACGAAAGCGUGGGGAGCAAACAGG
rnacentral:rRNA from 1 species